GUGGUAACCUGUGAAAACCAUUUCCGCAGGUUGAGUCGCCAUUCUUUGCGUCCUUUGUACGUUUAGAAGUUGUCUCCGCUAGACAGCAAGUAGUUGUUUCGGGAUUACACAAAUUUACAGACUGUCAAACAAGCUCGAAUCUUUUCCUACAAAAGCUGAAUAAUAUUACGAACAAAUAGCUACAAUAGGAUCCAGUUAAAGCUUCACGGACGAUAAUCUGAGCGGGAAUACAUUGGUGGUGUCCCUCAUCAAAAGCUAAAAUGAUCACCAGGCGAAGAGGUCGUUCAGACAUCACCGAUGUGGAGGUGCACUCUUCAACUUGUCCUUUUGAUGUUGAAGUCACUGACUUUGUUGAAAUGAUAGAAAAUGUUAAAACGAGUCCCUCUUUAGAAAUUAGGUCAGAGAAUGGGGAUAGUAAAGUUGGAUUAGAGCUGGAUGAUUUAUUUGGAAUCGACGAGUUAAACUGGACAUUUGAGAAGGAUGCAGUCUCCCCUCUUUUCGACAUUGGAUUGACCGAAAUUGGUGUGGGUGACACAACAGAUCAAGAUUUUUGGAUUGGCACGUCCAGGACCCCAUCGCCCGAAGGAGUGUCUGCUGUUCAGAAAAGGAAGGGGAGAGAUGACCCGUCUGGGCACAUGAUCAACAAAAACGCUGUCGCUGCGCGAAUUAAUCGUCUGAAAAAGAAGGAAUACAUGAACGGGCUGGAAAAUAAAGUUGGGUCUCUGUCGUCAGAAAACCGCAUACUCAAACAGGAAAACGUCCAAUUGAAUAAGAGGGUAGAAGAGUUGGAAGAUGAGACGAGGGGUCCAACAAGAAUGACGACCACGAUUAUGCCUUGCCGCGGAAACGUGUGAAGGUGGAGGAAAAGGAGACUUCUGGUGGCGUCUGUCUGCACGUGGACAAGAACAACGUCUCAGUGGAGUUCUGCACUAAGUGUGCAGAGAGUGCAAGCGCAUCACUCAAAAUGUAGGGUCAAGUACUUUUAUCUGUUUUCAGAUGUUGAGACUGAACCUGAUUAACUUCAGUGUAAUGAACGUCAGGGGAAUCUAUGAACACUGUUAAAACUAUUUGAGAUCAUUACUUAAUUAAGAAAUGUUGAAUGAUUGAGCAUGUGUAAAAAAUCUUACCAAUGAUUUAAGUACACGUUACUCGUUAAACCUUGUUGCCAGUUUUCUUCUAGGUGAUGAUUGUUCUACCAUGCUGGAUGAAUGGGUUACAGAACGUCCCUGUCUGCUUGGCGCCAUGUGGAUUCUGCUGUUCGGGAAGCUGAAGAGGCGGGACCCGCUGCUGCCAACUUGGCCUGGUAUUUUUUUAAAGGUAGUAUAACACAGGGUGUAAGUGACUACAUUCAACCAGUAUCCCAUAACACCUUCUUUGUAAAAAGUAGUGAAUUUAGAAUAUAUUGUGGAUGACAAGUGUUCCACUACCUAUUACAUUGACAAUAUUAGAGGUCCUAUAACGGUUUGUUCACAAGUUUAACCUGACUUGUUGACACAUUGGUAUGUAACCCAGUUGUUUAAAAAAAAAACUAGUCAAACUAUCUUGUUAUCGAUGUGAUCCUGAUAGAAAUGGACAUCACCAAUUUUGUAUAAAGUGACAAUCUUAAAGAAUGUUAUGUAAAGUACAAAGAUGUUGUGGCAACUUUUUUUUUUUUAAAUGAGAGAACAAUGUUUCAGAAACAUGGAUAUGAUUGAAAAUAAAUCUUAUUUUGAUUA